rnacentral:misc_RNA from 1 species
UUGAAUAACUUGGUACUGAUGCUGGUCCUCCGGGGCAUGUGCUCGUAUCAUCUUAUUUAUCUAUCUCUUGUGCACCUCUUGUAGUCUUUGAAGUGAGGUUUCGCAGUCAAAUGCGGUCUGGGGUCUGGGCUUUCAAAAGUCCUUUCCCUGCUUGCUUCAAAGGCUAUGUUUUCACACACACUAUUGAAGUUAUAGAAUGUCUCUUUAUUGACUCUUGUGGUCAGUAAAACCUAUA